CCUACGGGGGGCAGCAGUGGGGAAUAUUGCACAAUGGGGGAAACCCUGAUGCAGCGACGCCGCGUGAGUGAUGAAGUAUUUCGGUAUGUAAAGCUCUAUCAGCAGGGAAGAAAAUGACGGUACCUGAGUAAGAAGCCCCGGCUAACUACGUGCCAGCAGCCGCGGUAAUACGUAGGGGGCAAGCGUUAUCCGGAUUUACUGGGUGUAAAGGGAGCGUAGACGGCAGUGCAAGUCAGGUGUGAAAGGCGGGGGCUCAACCCCGGGACUGCACUUGAAACUGUACGGCUGGAGUGCAGGAGAGGUAGGCGGAAUUCCUAGUGUAGCGGUGAAAUGCGUAGAUAUUAGGAGGAACACCAGUGGCGAAGGCGGCUUACUGGACUGUAACUGACGUUGAGGCUCGAAAGCGUGGGGAGCAAACAGGAUUAGAUACCCCUGUAGUC
rnacentral:rRNA from 1 species